UGCGCGACUCUUAGCCUUGCCCAAGGCUAAGUUAUCUAUCUGCUGUACCCAAGCCUUUCCUAAGGCUUAGUUCUAGACUAAUAACUCUUUCCACAAACUAUUCCUUUUUCUUUGUUGUUUUUUCUCAUUUUAUUCUUAUAUCCUGUCCUGCAACAAACCAUAAAAAAUAGUUUAUAUUAGACAACAUACCAUCAAGUUUAACAACCAAAAGAUGGAUGCUAAUGAUGUCGU
rnacentral:lncRNA from 1 species